UACGGAGGGUGCAAGCGUUAUCCGGAUUCACUGGGUUUAAAGGGAGCGUAGGCGGAUUGAUAAGUCAGUGGUGAAAGCCCCAAGCUCAACUUGGGAAUUGCCAUUGAUACUGUUAAUCUUGAGUGCGGUUGAAGUGGGCGGAAUAUGACAUGUAGCGGUGAAAUGCUUAGAUAUGUCAUAGAACACCGAUUGCGAAGGCAGCUCACUAAGCCGCAACUGACGCUGAGGCUCGAAAGCGUGGGGAGCAAACAGG
rnacentral:rRNA from 1 species